AUUGAACGCUGGCGGCAUGCCUUACACAUGCAAGUCGAACGGCAGCACGGGAGCAGUCCUGGUGGCGAGUGGCGAACGGGUGAGUAAUACAUCGGAACGUGCCCAGGAGUGGGGGAUAGCCCGGCGAAAGCCGGAUGAAUACCGCAUACGACCUACGGGUGAAAGCGGGGGAUCGCAAGACCUCGCGCUAUUGGAGCGGCCGAUGUCAGAUUAGCUAGUUGGUGGGGUAAAGGCCAACCAAGGCGACGAUCUGUAGCUGGUCUGAGAGGACGACCAGCCACACUGGGACUGAGACACGGCCCAGACUCCUACGGGAGGCAGCAGUGGGGAAUUUUGGACAAUGGGGGCAACCCUGAUCCAGCCAUGCCGCGUGCGGGAAGAAGGCCUUCGGGUUGUAAACCGCUUUUGUCAGGGAAGAAACGCGCUGAGUUAAUACCUCGGCGUAAUGACGGUACCUGAAGAAUAAGCACCGGCUAACUACGUGCCAGCAGCCGCAGUAAAAC
rnacentral:rRNA from 1 species